ACCUCAUUCCCCUUCGCCUCCCCAGUGUUCAGACUACCUGUUCAUUAGGCUAUAGGUGUACAGUAGUCUGCACAUUGGUUAGGCUGGGCAGGGACUAGCU
rnacentral:pre_miRNA from 12 species